CUCGUCACCCCUCUUUGGAUAAAGCCUUUUGGCUGUUACGAAUUGAAAGCCUUAACAUCCUAUUAUUUGCUUUGGAGUAUGAGGUAUGAGGAAUUCUGUGUUUUUGGGAGAUUUUGGAGAACCCUGAGCUUUGGAAUCUGUAAAUUUGAAGAUUUGGAGAAGAAGAACUGUUGGGUUAGUCUUCAUUGAAAAUGGAUUGAGGAAUUCGAGUCACUGUGGGUGGAAGAAAACUGCGAGGAGUUGACUCUCGGUUUGGAAAAGAAGACUUGGACUUGAGCGUGUGCACAUGGAAUUGGACGAAGCAUUGAAAGUCGGAAACAAAGCCAUGUUUGGGCGAGCACUCCAAUUCCAGUGUGCAGGUUUCGAGCAUGUGGUCAGGGAGCGUACAGGGGAGGCACAUGGUCCGACUUGGCCCGUGAGACCAAGCAUGAGAAGAUUGCAGCUUUGCUUUUUAAGCAUGCAUAAGAAGACCAAAAGCUGAAGUAUAAUUGCAGGUCAUGGUCGUCCACAUUCAUCUCCUUGAUAUGCACAUCCUUGCUGUCAAAAACGUUUGGUCAGAAGAAAUUGAAUCUGGUUUUCCAUUUUCUCCUUUAUGAAACACUUGCUGUCGAACCAGAAAAGGAAGAACAUCUUCUUCUCAUAGAACCCUUGCUGUCAAAGAAGAAAGGAGGAAGCAACUAUAUUAGUUCUCUAUCUCACCUUGCUGUCCAAUGUUGAACACGGUAGUGGGAAGCAAUUGGUUCCCAUCUCGCCUUGCUGUCAAAGAUUAGCUUUCGAUCUAGUCUUGUUGUCCACUCAGUGCAGUCAUGAAGACCUUGUUGUCUAAGAUGGAAGUGGGAACUGAAGAAUAUUAUCAUGCACCUUCAUCUCCUUCACAUGCCUAAACUUUCGGUCGAAAAACAAAAGCAAAAGCAACUGCAUCUGGUUUCAUAUUUUUCUUCUUCAUGGAGAACGAGUUGUGGAAUCAUGUGGUCUUCUUCAGUUUCACUUUCAAGUCUCAGUGAACCUGCAAGUCUCAUGUGGUCUUCACAUGACAGAAAGCAUGAUAGUUUGUUUAAUUGCAAGUAUGGAUAUCUUGCUGUCGAAGUCAGGUGGCCUUGUUCAUCUUCAUGAAAACCUUGCUGUCAAAGAUCAAAAAGGGAGACAAUUGCAGCAAGGUUCUCCAUCUUAGCUCACUGUCCGGUCCCUCCUCGUGACUCUACUCCAACAAAGCUGAAGGAAUCUUGGUGAUUUCUUCCUCCUAUAUAUAUAGGAGUUCUGUGGUUCUUCAAUGUAUUGAGAAUAGUUUGAUUUUCAAUCCUUUGGUUGUAAAAGAGUUAGUCUCUUUGUUGCUCUGUUUUGUUCCAUGUUGAAAACAGAUUGUAAAACAACUAAGUGAGUCUGUCCAGUAAGGAUUGCAGCAGUCAUUGCAAUCCCAGAGUUAAUGUGUAAUCAGUUUUGAUUAGUGAAUCAUUGGGUUCUCAAGA